rnacentral:rRNA from 1 species
CCUGGUCAGGACGAAGUCAGGGGAAACCCUGAUGGAGGUCCGUAGCGAUUCUGACGUGCAAAUCGAUCGUCGGAACUGGGUAUAGGGGCGAAAGACUAAUCGAACCAUCUAGUAGCUGGUUCCCUCCGAAGUUUCCCUCAGGAUAGCUGGCGCUCGUAGCGCACGAGUCUCAUCCGGUAAAGCGAAUGAUUAGAGGCAUUGGGGUCGAAACGGCCUCAACCUAUUCUCAAACUUUAAAUGGGUGAGAUCUCCGGCUUGCUCGAACUUAUGAAGCCGCGAGAUUCGGAUCAGAGUGCCAAGUGGGCCAUUUUUGGUAAGCAGAACUGGCGCUGUGGGAUGAACCAAACGCCGAGUUAAAGCGCCUAAAUCGACGCUCAUGGGACACCAUGAAAGGCGUUGGUAACUUAAGACAGCAGGACGGUGGCCAUGGAAGUCGGAAUCCGCCAAGGAGUGUGUAACAACUCACCUGCCGAAGUUACUAGCCCUGAAAAUGGAUGGCGCUGAAGCGUCGUGCUUAUACUCGGCCGUCAGCGGCAUGUGCGGUCGCCCGUCGUCUCAAGAGCCGGCGGGGGCCAUGAAGCCCUGACGAGUAGGAGGGUCGCGGCGGUGAGCGCAGAAGGGUUGGCCGUGAGGCCGCCUGGAGCCGCCGUCGGUGC